rnacentral:other from 1 species
AAUCAUCUGUUGUGUUUGUGAUUGGCUAUAUCCCCUGAGCCGAUAAAUAAACAAAUAAGGAUAUGAGAUAGGCUACUAUUGUGCAAGCCCACCACGUAGUGGGAAGCCUGCGGUAGACUUCGAAUUUCCGCCUUGAACCUUACUGGUUCAGGUUUCUGCCAACACGGCGCAAUGGAUCCCGA